AAACUGCUGAGGAGUCCCACAAUAGGAAGAAACGGCCGUCCAGUGC
rfam:Schistosoma mansoni strain Puerto Rico chromosome 6, complete genome